CUCAGGAUGAACGCUGGCGGCGUGCUUAACACAUGCAAGUCGAACGGAGUUAUGGAGAGAGAGUGAGGUGCUUGCACCAAGUGACCAUUUCAUAACUUAGUGGCGGACGGGUGAGUAACGCGUGGGUAACCUGCCAUAUACAGGGGGAUAACACUUAGGAAUAGGUGCUAAAACCGCAUAAGCGCACAGCUUCGCAUGAAGCAGUGUGAAAAACUCCGGUGGUAUAUGAUGGACCCGCGUCUGAUAAGCCAGUUGGCAGGGUAACGGCCUACCAAAGCGACGAUCAGUAGCCGGCCUGAGAGGGUGAACGGCCACAUUGGGACUGAGACACGGCCCAAACUCCUACGGGAGGCAGCAGUGGGGAAUAUUGCACAAUGGGGGAAACCCUGAUGCAGCGACGCCGCGUGAGUGAAGAAGUAUUUCGGUAUGUAAAGCUCUAUCAGCAGGGAAGAAAAUGACGGUACCUGAGUAAGAAGCCCCGGCUAACUACGUGCCAGCAGCCGCGGUAAUACGUAGGGGGCAAGCGUUAUCCGGAUUUACUGGGUGUAAAGGGAGCGUAGACGGCGAGACAAGUCUGAAGUGAAAACCCGGGGCUCAACCCUGGGACUGCUUUGGAAACUGCCUGGCUGGAGUGCAGGAGAGGUAAGUGGAAUUCCUAGUGUAGCGGUGAAAUGCGUAGAUAUUAGGAGGAACACCAGUGGCGAAGGCGGCUUACUGGACUGUAACUGACGUUGAGGCUCGAAAGCGUGGGGAGCAAACAGGAUUAGAUACCGUGGUAGUCCACGCCGUAAACGAUGAUCACUAGGUGUUGGGGGCCUACAGGCCUUCGGUGCCGUCGCAAACGCAAUAGGUGAUCCACCUGGGGAGUACGUUCGCAAGAAUGCAACUCAAAAG
rnacentral:rRNA from 1 species